rnacentral:lncRNA from 1 species
GAAACUAGUUAAUCAUUUGUUGCUUUCAUAAUUGAUCAAUCCAGCAUUUCUUGUACAGCCAGGUAGUUAGGCAUUUGUAACAGACACUAUGGGACUAUGCAAUGGGGGACAAGAAAGUAGAGCCCAAAAGGAGCGUUUUUCCAAAGGGCUAUGCAGAAAAGUGCAUUGAUGUGGAACAACAAGGUAAGAUGAGACAGUCUGUUCAACCCAUGUUAU